rnacentral:rRNA from 1 species
UACGUAGGCAGCAAGCGUUGUUCGGAGUUACUGGGCGUAAAGCGUGCGCAGGCGGUUUUGUAAGCCAGGUGUGAAAUCCCCGGGCUCAACCUGGGAAUGGCAUUUGGGACUGCAAGGCUGGAGUGCGGCAGAGGAGACUGGAAUUCCUGGUGUAGCAGUGAAAUGCGUAGAUAUCAGGAGGAAUACCGAUGGCGAAGGCAGGUCUCUGGGCUGACACUGACGCUCAUGCACGAAAGCGUGGGGAGCAAACAGG